GCUCUCAAAUCUAUCUUUCCAGGGAACGUUUUUUGGGCGUCUGUUUAGAACGCUUAGCUGCAAGUGCGCUGUUCCUGCCCCUAGGAAGCUCACAGUUACGUGGGGGAGACGCUGAGACUACACCAGAGUUGAUAAAGAUGGCCUCAUGUGAUGAAAUAAUCAGGGUUUAAUUUCUCUGAGAAGGAAAGAAGGAAGAAGUCUCAUACAGAAUAUUCUUCAGCUGGAAGGCUGUCAGAAAGAUGGAUUUCCAAAGCCAACUGUCUCCUGUACCAUGUGGAUCUCUGCAAGCAGAGUCUCAUCUUUCAAUUUCAGCUGCAUAAGAAGAAGGAAGGGGAGGAUACAUGUCAUGCCUGAUAUACCUUUGGGGAGACCCCUCAUUUACAGGACCACAGUUAAAGAAUAUAGUUCCUAGGCAUGAAAUUGGCUCUUCCUAUAUUCCCUAUUACAUGGUAACUCCAUUAAAAGACCUCAGAACAUUG